UGGCGAACGGGUGAGUAACGCGUGAGUAACCUGCCCUAGAGUGGGGGACAACAGUUGGAAACGACUGCUAAUACCGCAUAAGCCCACGGUGCCGCAUGACACUGAGGGAAAAGGAUUUAUUCGCUUUAGGAUGGACUCGCGUCCAAUUAGCUAGUUGGUGAGGUAACGGCCCACCAAGGCGACGAUGGUAGCCGGACUGAGAGGUUGAACGGCCACAUUGGGACUGAGACACGGCCCAG
rnacentral:rRNA from 1 species